CUGCUGCCUCCCGUAGGAGUUUGGGCCGUGUCUCAGUCCCAAUGUGGCCGUCCACCCUCUCAGGCCGGCUGCUGAUCGUCGCUUUGGUGGGCCGUUACCCCGCCAACUGGCUAAUCAGACGCGGGCCCAUCCUGUACCACCGGAGUUUUCAAAGGAUUACCAUGCGGUAUUCCCUAUUAUGCGGUAUUAGCACCUAUUUCUAAGUGUUAUCCCCCGGUACAGGGCAGGUUGCCCACGCGUUACUCACCCGUCCGCCACUAAGACAGA
rnacentral:rRNA from 1 species